GUUUUCCCACUACACAGGAAGGGGCUGGGGGAGAGAGAUAUUUUUGCAGUGUGGUCAUGUGAAAGGCAAAUUUCACGUGGAUUUUCAUGCAGACCUAUAAAUCAGUCCAUGUUCACUCUAAAAGUUCACGGUCCUUAGCAAACCUCUCAGUGAACUGGGGCUGAGCUUAGAGAUUGUAAAGAAACCUGAAACCAAGCAAGUUUCAACUAAUUUCAUAUUUUGCCGUGAACAUUUUGCUCAGGUCUAACUUGUUUGCUUAGGAGUUUAGGCAAGUACAACCGUGUCCUUUGGGAGAAAAAAAAUGCUCGGAGAAAUCAAAUACACCACACAAAAAGGACCCGUGAUGUUGGUGGAUAACGUGACAGAAAACUGCUGUGGGACUAAGAUUCCAGCACCUCUUGUCCCCCUUCCCAGGGGCUUGGUGCAGACACAGACCUGAGAGGCACAGCAGCACCUCCCCCUACUAUCGGCAUGCACUGCAGUGAUCAGACUGGCUCAGCCUCGACAUCUUAUGGUUACAUCUCCAGCUUUCUGUGUGUGAUAGCAAUAUACAAAUGCAAUUAAGGAUUUCCAAAGAGUAUACUGGCAGGGCUGCAUGCAAACUGGUCAUGAAGGUGACCAACUGACUUGAGGAAAG
ensembl:lncRNA